rnacentral:rRNA from 1 species
UUGGAGGGCAAGUCUGGUGCCAGCAGCCGCGGUAAUUCCAGCUCCAAUAGCGUAUAUUAAAGUUGUUGCAGUUAAAAAGCUCGUAGUUGAAUUUCGGGAUCAAUAUAUCGGUCAUGCUUGGGUAUGUACUGGUAUAAUUGAUUUCUCCCUUCUGAAGAACCAUGAUGUCAUUUAUUUGAUGUCGUGGGGAAUCAGGACUGUUACUUUGAAAAAAUUAGAGUGUUUAAAGCAGGCUUUCGCUUGAAUACAUUAGCAUGGAAUAAUGAAAUAGGACGUUUGAUUCUAUUUUGUUGGUUUCUAGGAUCGACGUAAUGAUUAAUAGGGAUAGUUGGGGGCAUUAGUAUUCAAUUGUCAGAGGUGAAAUUCUUGGAUUUAUUGAAGACUAACUACUGCGAAAGCAUUUGCCAAGGAUGUUUUCAUUAAUCAGGAACGAAAGUUAGGGGAUCGAAGACGAUCAGAUACCGUCGUAGUCUUAACCAUAAACUAUGCCGACUAGGGAUCGGAUGAUGUUAAUUUUUUAAUGACUCAUUCGGCGCCUUACGGGAAACCAAAGUGUUUGGGUUC